rnacentral:rRNA from 1 species
GGGUGCGCGAGUGGCGAACGGGUGAGUAACACGUGAGUAACCUGCCCUUGACUUUGGGAUAACUUCAGGAAACUGGGGCUAAUACCGGAUAGGAGCUCCUGCUGCAUGGUGGGGGUUGGAAAGUUUCGGCGGUUGGGGAUGGACUCGCGGCUUAUCGGCUUGUUGGUGGGGUAGUGGCUUACCAAGGCUUUGACGGGUAGCCGGCCUGAGAGGGUGACCGGCCACAUUGGGACUGAGAUACGGCCCAG